rnacentral:rRNA from 1 species
AGAGUUUGAUCCUGGCUCAGAACGAACGCUGGCGGCAUGGCUAAGACAUGCAAGUCGUACGGAGUGGAAUGAGCUUGCUCGAUCCACUCAGUGGCGGACGGGAGAGUAAUGCAUGGGUAACGUACCCUGGACACGGGAAUAACCACGGGGCUUCGGCCUCUUUAGCGAAAGUGUGGCUAAUACCCGAUGAUGUCGCCUGAUCGCAUGGUCAGGCGCCCAAAGGUGGGGACCUUCGGGCCUGCCAGUCUGGGAUCGGCCCAUGUCUUAUCAGCUUGUUGGUAGGGUAAUGGCCUACCAAGGCUACGACGGGUAGCGGGCGUGAGAGCGUGACCCGCCUCAUCGGGACUGAGACACUGCCCGGACACCUACGGGUGGCUGCAGUAACGAAUAUUGGGCAAUGGGCGCAAGCCUGACCCAGCAAUGCCGCGUGCAGGAGGAAGCCUUUCGGGGUGUAAACUGCUGUCAGGGUUUAGCAAGCAAUGUAGGUUAAUAGCCUGCGGCGCUGAGCAGACCCAAAGGAAGCCUCGGCUAACUCUGUGCCAGCAGCCGCGGUAAGACAGAGGAGGCAAGCGUUGUUCGGAAUCACUGGGCUUAAAGCGGGUGUAGGCGGCUUGGUGAGUGUCCUGUGAAAGCCCACGGCUCAACCGUGGAAUUGCAGGGCAUACUGCCUGGCUUGAGGUUGGUAGAGGUGCCUGGAACUCUAGGUGGAGCGGUGAAAUGCGUAGAUAUCUAGAGGAACGCCAGAAGCGAAAGCGGGGCACUGGGCCAAUCCUGACGCUGAGACCCGAAAGCGUGGGGAGCAAACAGGAUUAGAUACCCUGGUAGUCCACGCCGUAAACGAUGCACACUAGGUGUCGGAGGCUCUGAUGCCCUCGGCGCCGAAGGAAAACUAAUAAGUGUGCCGCCUGGGGAGUACGGCCGCAAGGCUAAAACUCAAAGGAAUUGACGGGGGCUCACACAAGCGGUGGAGCAUGUGGCUUAAUUCGAAGCAACGCGAAGAACCUUACCCAGGUUUGACAUGCUUGGAUGCUCUCCGGGGAUAACCCGGGGUAGCUGCCCUUCGGGGUGAAACUUGCACAGGUGUUGCACGGCUGUCGUCAGCUCGUGCUGUGAAGUGUCGGGUUAAGUCCCUUAACGAGCGAAACCCCUAUCGUUUUUGCCAGCGGGUCAUGCCGGGGACUCUAGCGAGACUGCCGGCGUUAAGCCGGAGGAAGGUGGGGACGACGUCAAGUCAUCGUGGCCUUUAUGCCUGGGGAUGCACACGUGCUACAAUGGCCGCUACAGAGGGAAGCGAUACCGCGAGGUGGAGCAAAUCCCAAAAAAGCGGCCUCAGUUCGGAUUGGAGUCUGUAAUUCGACUCCAUGAAGUCGGAAUCGCUAGUAAUCGCGUAUCAGCUACGACGUGGUGAAUGUGUUCCUGAGCCUUGUACACACCGCCCGUCAAGUCAUGGAAGCUGGUAGCACCCGAAGUCCGCUUAGCUAACCAAUACC